GAAACAGAGAUCUAAAAACUUCCUUUCUCAUAAUCAUUACAAAUUGUAUAAACCGAUUCAUUUUUCAUUCAAAACAUUGAGUCAAAGUUUCCAUCGAUAGGUUUUUCUCUUCUACCUUCACUUAUCCGUGAGAGCGCACUGAAUCCCUACGAUGCGCUUUGGCAUUUUACAGAAUCGCUCAGAAACCUUUGCAAGCAUAAUAUUCGCAUACACGUGUACGACCGCGACGACAGUGCGCACCGGGCAGCCUUAGUUACUGUUUUGCCUUACAAUUAUUAUUUUUUGUGAUGGAUGUCUUAACACUCGUGUUUUUUCUAAUUUUAAUGAAAGUAACUAUUGGAUUGAAAAUUAUUGAUGUUUUGGUUCCACGAUUUGUAGAUUUAAAAGAUUCGGUAACAUUGGAAUGCCAUUUUGUCGUGGGACAUGGUAAAUUAUAUUCUGUAAAAUGGUAUAAAGAUGACAAUGAAUUUUACAGAUUUGUCCCGGAAGACAUACCUUCUGUUCAAGUAUUCCACCAAUCAGGCAUUGCAUUAGAUCUGACUAAAUGUAAUAUGCGCAAAGUUACACUUAAAAAUCUUACACUACAAACUAGCGGAAUAUACAAAUGUGAAGUCUCCACAGAUGCUCCCAAAUUUGAAAUAGAGUUUAAGUCUGCUAACAUGUCAGUUAUAAGUUAUCCAGAAGGAAACCCCUUAAUAGAAGGUAUUCGUAAUCAAUAUGCUGUCGGUGAACUUGUGUCAGGAAAUUGUUCUUCUUACAAAUCAUAUCCUCAGCCUUCAUUAACUUGGUAUAUCAAUGGUAAUCAGGCAAAUGAUUACCAAGUAAAAAAUUAUCCAGUUUUAGUUAAUUCCGAGGGAACUCUAUUUUCAAAAACUCUAGGUAUUCAAUUUAAGAUAACAAAAGAAUUGCAAAUAGAUGACGAAAACAAUUUUACGUGGAUGUCAACGUGGCAACAAGUAUCAGUUCCCAACGAUUGUCAUUUUCAUGCAAUUGUAGAGAAAAUCACAAAGAAUUAUCUGAUAAAAUUUCAAAAAAUUAAUUUUUUAUUAUUCAUAUAUAUAUAUAUAUUAAAUUAGACAAUACAACACAUAAGAAGUGAAAACUAGAACUUUUUAAGCAGAUAAAAAAAUGUUAUAAUCUUUUUAAACUCAAGCAUACCAUUGUACUUAUGUAGCUUUGCCAACUCAUAACUUUGAAAAUUUUAUUCAUUAUAUAUAAAAUGACACAAGCGUAUACAUAUGUAUAUUUAUAAAUAUUAUUAUAAAAAAAUGUAUAUUUAGGCUGUUUUCAUAAAAACUAAAUUAGAUUAAAAUAAUUUGUUCAAAUACUCUAUAUAUUUUUUAAAUGUUAUUGGCUAAUUAAUAUUUGCCAAUAUAUAUUAAUAUUUGCCUACAAAAUAAUAUAAAAAAUCUAAUAUAUAAAAUUCUCGUGUCGCUGUAUUUGUUGUCAAACUCCUCCUAUUUUCAUGAAAUUUUGUUUCUAUAUGGGGUAGGUCUGAGAAUCGGUCAACAUCUAUUUUUCAUACCUCUAAAUGUUAAGGUUGGUCCACCCCUUAAUUUUUUUUUUAUUUUUUAGACAAAAUUUUUUGUUUUUAUUUUUUAUGAUACAGCAUUAAAAAAUACAUGCAACCCUAAAUUUCACCCUUCUACGAUCAACCCCAAUUUUUCCAUCGCGAUUUAAAUUUUUUUUUAUUUUAUCCACAAAUCCACAAUAGGGUUGCAAGAUAGCAAUCAAAUAUAAUAAUUGUAGUACGAUAAAUUCUCAUCGCAGUGUAUAAUUCCAAUUUUCUUUAAUUAUAUUUUGACAUCUAGAAUAUUAUACACUCUAUUGCGCUGAGAAAUUAAUCUUUAUUUUUUUUCAACUGCCAUAAUUAAUAGUAAAAAUAUGAAUAAUAAUUAUUUUUGAUGUUUAGAUAGCUAUCGAGAAUUGUAAUUUAAAAUAUAUUCGUUACUUUAAUAAUGAAUAAUUUAUUAACCUAAAUAAAGCAUACUUUCAUUGUCUACAACGCUUUCGAUUAUAAAUACACCCUACACACUUAUAAUAGAAAAAAAACAUUUUCAAGGUCCCAAUGUGGAAUUAGAUUUAACAUGUGAAGCUACUUUUGUACAAUAUCAACUAAAAUGGCGAAA